AACAAGUGGGAGGGGUGUCUCGUGUGUGGGGGGGAAGCAAGGGCGUACGGGUGGGAGCCCCAGCCAGGGUGAGAGAGGCUCUACCCACGCUGGGGUUGGUGAGGAUGGGGACCCUAGCUAACUGCCAGAGGGAAUCAUGGCGUUUCUCCUCAGUCUGUCUACUGUCUUGGGAGGGCAGAGUUGUUGCUUUCGUGGUAAAAGGUGAUUUAAAUUCAGAUUAAUUCAGUUUGUUUUAGCUCCUAGGCAGAUCUGCGUGUGGGUGGUGGUCCAUACAGUGGAAGGUUUUGUCUGUUGCUUUUGAGCUGCUAAAAGAGAUAAGGAGAGAGGAAAGCCAUUAUUGUGGGAAAGCCCCUUUCUGUGCUAAUAGCUUCCCCUCCAAGAUUAUCCCUUCCCAGGAAAGAGAGGCUCACCCUCUGUCUAGAAACAGCCUGCUCUGGUCUGCUGUUCCUUUCCUGUCCCUGCUGUCUGUUCUGAGCUACCAGUUCCUCCAGGGUAUGGGGGAGGAGGUGUUUGACCUGCAUUUUCUGCUUUCUCAUGGUGCCUGUAUAGUCUGUUCACUAAUAAACCUCUCCUUUUCUUGCCUUGUGCUGGAGGCUGCAGCAGGGAUUUUCCUGCAUUUGGUUGUAUGUCCUGUGUUUCCUGCUGUGUGGAUUCCGAGCCUCCCAACCUGGCUGUUUAGGCUCAGGACCGAACUAAAACACAGUUCCUGUUUUUAAUACCAUACAGCUGUGACAAGGUCACCUGUGUCUCCAGCAGCAUCGUCCUUGGAUGCCAAUGGCCUACUGUUCAAACAGAGGUCCUUUGUUGUAUGUCAUAUGUCUUGUAAAAUGUUGGGCUAAGCUGGAAAGUGACUGGGAAAAACUUCACAUUCCUUAUUCCUGAUCCUGACAGAAGGAAGGAACUUAGAUGUGGUUUGAUUCUCUACUAAAAUGGGAUUUUCAACAGGCAGCAGAUGGUCUGUUUUGCAAAGAGGUACUGGGAUUUUAUUGUAUAGUGAUUAAAAUAUGCCAUUGGGAUUCUUCCAGCUUUCGGCGGAGGCUAGUUCUGCUUUAAGGAAGUAAUAGCUCUUUGCAGGCCUUUCAGUGGCCUCCUGCAAUCUCUCUGGCCCAUUAUGUAAUUGGACUGUUUAAGGUUCACUCAGGCAGAGGUUAUGGGCAAGGGAGAGGGAAUUAAUAUCUGUGGGGGAGGGGAUUAUGGCUGCAAGUCAUUAUUUUGGUAACAUUUUUAAAAAAAAAAUCCAAAUGGACACACUGCAGGUGCUUCUGUUAAAAAGCAAAAUAUAAGGUUAGAUAAAGAGUUCAGUAUUUCCUUAAGAGGGAGUAGAAGUUUCCCUUUUUCACCUAUGAAGGAGGCACUAGGAAUUUUUCUGUAACUGGCCCAGGAAGUCAUUUUGUUCCCAGCCUUCUGGUUUGAAGCACAGAGGUGAAGGAAGGCAGGAGGGUGUUGCUUUGGAUCCUGUGGGUAAGUGUUCAAGGCAGUGACAGCAGCUGCAUUUGGCUCCAGAGCUCUGGUUGCUACGUGAGAAGCUUUAGUAGUGUUGGCUGCUGUCUCCAGGGAAGGACAGUAGAGCAGCCUCCAUUAGUGCUGUGUUUAGGAGAUGGCUGGUUCCUGCUCAGAGAAAGGUUUUCACUUUUAUAUUUCCACAGCUUUGAGGCAGACGUGUGUAAAUCUUACUCCAGUUCGAUAAACCUGUAUGCUGUAUUUAAUUGCACUAGGAUGUGGCUGGAAACCCCGAGCUGGCCUUUUGUUUUCAUUCUGCCCAAAACUAGUUUACACUGUUGCUGAAGCUGUACUGGUCUUAGGAUAUGAGAGACACUAGGUGUAUGAAGCAAUAUCUUUUAUUUCACCAUUAGAAGUUGGUCUGAUAAGAGCCAAGCUUUUGUGCUCCACAGAAUUGAGAAGUUCUGUGAAGCUUGCAACUUGUCUAGUAAAAGGCAUUACCUCACCCCUCUUGUCUUUUUGUGCAGAAUUAGGACAGUAAGACUUGUUAUGAUUUUCCUAGAGCAAGAGAGGCAGUUGCAAUCUCAGACCUGGGACUGCAGUCUACCUCUGAAUGGAGUCUCCUUUCCAGUUAGUCAUACAGCCAGAUGCUUUCCUUAUUGUUCCUAUGUCUCCUUCCUCCCCUUCCAUCGGCUGGGCCCCAUUUGCCUUACUGACUGGAAUUUCUGCUGUGUGCAGUGAGCUGCCUACACCAGCCUGCUAGUGCUAAGAGGGAAUUUUUCAUUCACAGAGUAUAGAACAGUCAAAAUAGUGGCCCAGCUCAACUUGCAAC